ACAAGCUCUUUGUCGGAGGCCUGCCCAACUAUCUCAGUGACGAUCAGCUGUAAAUUAUGAAGAUAUUGAGACCCCGCUAAUGUAAAAGCUCGUUACAGAUUCCGCGGCCCGUCGAUGGCGUGGAGGUGCCUGGCUGUGGCAAGGUGGGACCCGUACUCUCCUGUACCAGUGGCAAAAAGAAGACCUCUGUAGGCACUAAACACAGGCUCAUGGGAGCAUUUCUUGCACAAAAGUGUUUUGAAAACGGAAUAAUUUUUUGUGUAAGAAAAACAAUCUGAUUGGUUCAGAUAGACAGACAAUCUGAUUGGUUCAGAUAGACGGACAAUCUGAUUGGCUCAGAUAGACGGACAAUCUGAUUGGCUCAGAUAGACGACGGACAAUCUGAUUGGCUCAGAUAGACGACGGACAAUCUGAUUGGCUCAGAUAGACGACGGACAAUCU